rnacentral:rRNA from 1 species
AAUCAACGCUGGCGGCAUGCCUAACACAUGCAAGUCGAGCGAGAAAGUGUAGCAAUACAUGAGUAAAGCGGCGCACGGGUGAGUAACACGUGGAUAACCUGCCUCAAAGUGGGGAAUAACACCGGGAAACCGGUGCUAAUACCGCAUAUUCUGAUGAAGUCUGCGGAUUUUGUCAGUAAAGGAGCAAUUCGCUAUGAGAGGGGUCCGCGGCUGAUUAGCUAGUUGGUGAGGUAAUGGCUCACCAAGGCAACGAUCAGUAGCCGGUCUGAGAGGACGGUCGGCCACACUGGAACUGAGACACGGUCCAGACUCCUACGGGAGGCAGCAGUGGGAAUUUUUCGCAAUGGGGAAACCCUGACGAAGCAAUGCCGCGUGGAUGAUGAAGUAUUUCGGUACGUAAAAUCCUUUCGACAGGGACGAAACCGCAAGGUUGACGGUACCUGUAGAAGAAGCCCGGCUAACUCCGUGCCAGCAGCCGC